rnacentral:lncRNA from 1 species
GACUCAGGGGCAUCAGUUUUCAAGAGGUACAAACUUUCAGUGUUUUGCCACUACUGGUGAUGGAUCCAUUGUAGUUGGAUCACUUGAUGGGAAGAUUCGCUUGUACUCGAAGACCUCUAUGAGGCAAGCAAAGACUGCAUUCCCUGGACUUGGCUCUCCAAUUACACAUGUUGAUGUUACUUAUGAUGGCAAAUGGAUAUUGGGCACGACAGAUACAUAUUUGAUCUUGAUAUGCACUGUGUUUACUGGUAAGGAUGGGAAGACCAAAACUGGUUUUACUGGUCGAAUGGGAAACAAAAUCCCAGCUCCAAGAUUAUUAAAGCUGACUCCUGUUGAUGCGCAUAUGGCUGGGGCAAAUAACAAGUUCCAUGGUGGACAUUUCUCUUGGGUAAGAAUGCUAAUUUAUUUAGCUGCUUUNGGUAGUGGAAAGAGUCCCAUAACGCCAGUGAGGGAUAGCCAAGAUUUGCUGGAGGAAUUUGAGGAAGCUGCUACUGGUGGAGGAAUACAGAGUUUGGCAUUAGGGGCUUUAGAUAAUAGUUUUCUUGUGAAUGAUUCAGGAGUUCAAGUUGUGAAAAAUUUUAGCCACGGAAUCCAUGGGAAAGGUGUUUAUGUGAAAUUUGAUGAAAAGGAUAAGUGGGCUGGUGGAGGCUCAACACCUAAAAAGGCUCUUUUGAUGCGUGGAGAAACUAAUAUGAUGCUAAUGAGUCCUUUUAAGGACGGCAAACCCCGUUCAACUGGACUUCAUCAAUUGGAUAUUGAGACUGGUAAAAUUGUGACUGAAUGGAAGUUCGAGAAGGAUGGGACUGAUAUUACUAUGAAGGAUAUAACAAAUGAUACCAAAGGGUCACAGUUGGAUCCUUCAGAAUCAACAUUUUUGGGCUUGGAUGAUAACCGGCUGUGUCAGUGGGACAUGCGUGAUAAGAAGGGAAUUGUUCAGACAUUAGCAAAUACGAAUUCUCCAGUGUUGAAUUGGACUCAGGGGCAUCAGUUUUCAAGAGGUACAAACUUUCAGUGUUUUGCCACUACUGGUGAUGGAUCCAUUGUAGUUGGAUCACUUGAUGGGAAGAUUCGCUUGUACUCGAAGACCUCUAUGAGGCAAGCAAAGACUGCAUUCCCUGGACUUGGCUCUCCAAUUACACAUGUUGAUGUUACUUAUGAUGGCAAAUGGAUAUUGGGCACGACAGAUACAUAUUUGAUCUUGAUAUGCAC